rnacentral:lncRNA from 1 species
AUGACCUUUAGAAAUACCCACCUUUGUGCUGAUUCUAUAAAAUCCCAACAUCCACAAUCCAAACCAUGUAGGUCAUACCCUUGGCUUCCUCUCUGCCAAAAUCCAAAGCUUUCCAAAGGAAAACCUAACCAUACAAACAGAGAAGAGGCACUAUGUAUUUCUGAAGCUAACACCUUCAACCAGGGCUGGAGCUUUCCAGGACAGCACAUACCAAAGUCAAAUCCCUGGCACCAGGAUGCUCUGGGGCCAACUCUGGAGUCGGGAUGCUGCAGGUCAGGAUGCUGCAGGGCAGGGAUGCUGUGGGGUCAGGGAUGCUGCGGGGCAGGGAUGCUGCAGGGCAGGAAUGCUGCAGGGCAGGGAUGCUGCGGGAUCAGAAUGCUGCAGGGCAGGGAUGCUGCGGGUCAGGGAUGCUGCAGGGCAGGGAUGCUGCAGGGCAGGGAUGCUGCAGGGCAGGGAUGCUGCGGGGCAGGGAUGCUGUGGGGUCAGGGAUUCUGCAGGUCAGGGAUGCUGCAGGUCAGGAUGCUGCAGGUCAGGGAUGCUGCAGGUCAGGAUGCUGCAGGUCAGGAUGCUGCAGGUCAGGAUGCUGCAGGGCAGGGAUGCUGUGGGGUCAGGGAUUUUGCGGGGCAGGGAUGCUGCAGGGCAGGGAUGCUGCAGGUCAGGAUGCUGCAGGGCAGGGAUGCUGUGGGUCAGGGAUGCUGCAGGGCAGGAUGCUGCAGGUCAGGGAUGCUGCAGGGCAGGGAUGCUGCAGGGCAGGAUGCUGCAGGGCAGGGAUGCUGCAGGGCAGGGAUGCUGCGGGUCAGGGAUGCUACGGGUCAGGGAUUUUGCAGGGCAGGGAUGCUACGGGUCAGGGAUUUUGCAGGGCAGGGAUGCUGCAGGUCAGGGAUGCUGCAGGGCAGGGAUGCUGCAGGGCCAGGCCCGGCUCUGGGCAGCCGCCGCCCUCGCCGCAGGCACGGUCCGACCCUCCCCAAUCAGACCGAAAGCGCUGGAGGACGGGAGCAGGACGGAGCUAGGAGGACCCCGUGUGACCGAUGA